rnacentral:rRNA from 1 species
CAUGUGAUCUGUUUGAAAGGUCCUUUUGGAUCGCUAGAGGAUGGUCUUGCGGCGUAUUAGCUUGUUGGUAGGGUAGAAGCCUACCAAGGCAAUGAUGCGUAGCCGAGUUGAGAGACUGGCCGGCCACAUUGGGACUGAGACACUGCCCAAACUCCUACGGGAGGCUGCAGUAGGGAAUUUUCCGCAAUGCACGAAAGUGUGACGGAGCGACGCCGCGUGUGUGAUGAAGGCUUUCGGGUCGUAAAGCACUGUUGUAAGGGAAGAAUAACUGAAUUCAGAGAAAGUUUUCAGCUUGACGGUACCUUACCAGAAAGGGAUGGCUAAAUACGUGCCAGCAGCCGCGGUAAUACGUAUGUCCCGAGCGUUAUCCGGAUUUAUUGGGCGUAAAGCGAGCGCAGACGGUUUAUUAAGUCUGAUGUGAAAUCCCGAGGCCCAACCUCGGAACUGCAUUGGAAACUGAUUUACUUGAGUGCGAUAGAGGCAAGUGGAACUCCAUGUGUAGCGGUGAAAUGCGUAGAUAUGUGGAAGAACACCAGUGGCGAAAGCGGCUUGCUAGAUCGUAACUGACGUUGAGGCUCGAAAGUAUGGGUAGCAAACGGGAUUAGAUACCCCGGUAGUCCAUACCGUAAACGAUGGGUGCUAGUUGUUAAGAGGUUUCCGCCUCCUAGUGACGUAGCAAACGCAUUAAGCACCCCGCCUGAGGAGUACGGCCGCAAGGCUAAAACUUAAAGGAAUUGACGGGGACCCGCACAAGCGGUGGAGCAUGUGGUUUAAUUCGAAGAUACGCGAAAAACCUUACCAGGUCUUGACAUACCAAUGAUCGCUUUUGUAAUGAAAGCUUUUCUUCGGAACAUUGGAUACAGGUGGUGCAUGGUCGUCGUCAGCUCGUGUCGUGAGAUGUUGGGUUAAGUCCCGCAACGAGCGCAACCCUUGUUAUUAGUUGCCAGCAUUUAGUUGGGCACUCUAAUGAGACUGCCGGUGAUAAACCGGAGGAAGGUGGGGA